rnacentral:lncRNA from 1 species
CUGUCACGUGCGCUCUCUCCUCCGUCCUCUUACGCACGCCCUCGUGGCCAGAUAUUUGGUAAUUUCUUUUCUGAGAAUAAAUAGAUAUUGUGCCCCCAUUUGUUUGUUGUUUUGCCCAGCUGAAAGGUGGAUCAAAUAUGAAAUACGUGAACGUUCAAUAGUGUGAAAAGCAAGCCCUGGUUUUGUUGAAAUUCCAUUGAAUCUCUGUGAUACCUAAGUACUAAUGCUCAUACUUUGCAAUUUUCUCUCCACAUCUUUCAGUCAUGGGUUCUUGAGGAAAGCAGGUAAUGCAUUUUGUUUGUGUCAACUAUACUGAAUCUGCAAAGCCUUUUUUGUCUGUGGAGAAACUCACACUCUGCAUUAGUUGCAAAAGCUGCUGAUUUUGAUCUUAACAAUUGCAAGGAAACUAUGGAGAAACUUGCACAGUUUGGGCAGCGUCAGCAGGCAGAGUUGCUGUUCAAGUAGCAGCAGAUCACCAGCG